GACGGGACCGCACAAGCGGUGGAUGAUGUGGUUUAAUUCGAUGCAACGCGAAAACCUUACCCACCUUUGAUAUGGCAGGAAUCCUAAAGAGAUUUUGGAGUGCUCGAAAGAGAACCUGCACACAGGUGCUGCAUGGCCGUCGUCAGCUCGUGUCGUGAGAUGUUGGGUUAAGUCCCGCAACGAGCGCAACCCUUGCCAUUAGUUGCUACGAAAGGGCACUCUAAUGGGACUGCCGGUGACAAACCGGAGGAAGGUGGGGAUGACGUCAAGUCCUCAUGGCCCUUAUAGGUGGGGCUACACACGUCAUACAAUGGCCGGUACAGAGGGUAGCCAACCCGCGAGGGGGAGCCAAUCCCAUAAAGCCAGUCGUAGUCCGGAUCGCAGUCUGCAACUCGACUGCGUGAAGUCGGAAUCGCUAGUAAUCGUGGAUCAGCAUGUCACGGUGAAUACGUUCCCGGGUCUU
rnacentral:rRNA from 1 species